AGCUGGCUGUACGAGAGCUUUCCACAAUUUGACGCGAUGUUGUUAAAUCACAAGUUUGCAGAUUCAGCAGUGAUUACAAUAAGCUGAACAUUUAUUGUUUAGGGAUGUCACAAUUUCCUGAGACGGAGGCAUCUCUGCACCACAAAGGAGACUGCGGCACCAUGCAGCCUGAACAGCACGACAAAGCAUCUGAUCUGCCUGCUUUGACAAGAUGUGGCUGGGCCUGCAGAAAGAGUGUAAGCACACUACUGUGUUGCUGAUCAGUGCUGGUGCUGAUCUCUACGUCUGAGUUGGCCUCACAACGUCCAGGCGCCACUGUGCUUUGCUUCAUUGACAAGGUGUGGCUGGGCCUGCAGAAAAGCUGUAAGCAGACUGCAGUGUUGCUGAUCAGUGCUGAUCUCCACGUCCGAGUUGGUCCCACAAUAUCCAGGCACCACGGUGCUUUCACAAGAGGCAUACGAGCACUUUGUUUCAAAAACGCCAAGCACCGUGGAUACAGAGGCAAGGAGGCUGAAGGACCUGAACAAGCACCUGGCCACCAUGCUUCGGGAUGCAAAAUAAAGAUGGUUUGUGUUAA
rnacentral:lncRNA from 1 species